rnacentral:sRNA from 1 species
UAUUAUUUCCUGUUUCAUAGUGGAAAGGUAACCUCUGUCUAUAAACAAGUUUUUGUUCCUUGCUUAAAAUUUGGAUGAUGAUACAUUAAUCAAUUUUACUUAUGCCAUUGUGUAUAUUGAAUGUUGUCAGCAGAUGAUAUUUUAACUGUUAUUGUGAGCUACUAACAAAUGCAAUCUUAGUUUAUACAAAUAUUCUGUAUCGUCAUUUUACUUGUGGCUGGUGCUUUAUUAUAUACAUGUUUACUUUUAUACAUUUAAUUGUGAGCGGGGAUUGCGAUCGAUGUUAGAAAUGAUCUCAGUGUUGUCCAUGUUAUUGUUUACCUGUCUCAUUUAUAUAUAUAUUUAAGAGUACAUAAUUUCUAAGGAAAAGAAGGUGAGAAAUGUAAAGUUUUGGUUUAAUCAACUUUUUAUACUAAGAGAAAAUUGCAUCCAUAAAACUUUACAAAUGUUGCAAUUUCGGAGUUACUGCCCUUAAGCUGCAGUACACACACAAGGACAUUUCAGAAAUGUUAAACAUUUCAGUAAUAUAAAACAGAUUGAAAAGAAUAUGCAUUUUACUUAACAGUAACUUAAAUCAAAUAUGAGUUUAAAAUAAAAUUCUGUUAUUUUGCAGCUUUAUGAACAUUUGACGUAAUAGAUAUAAUCAGGAAAUAUCAAAGUACCGUUAGAUUUUUAUAUGUUUAUAGCAAUCACUUCUUUUACUCAGGAAUCCAGAAUAUAAAUCCAAAUCUCCGUAAUUUGUAUUUUCCAUGCUUGACACUUAUCAAAGUUACAUGAAAAUAAUCUUCCAGUCAUAGUCAAUCAAGAUAGAUCUGUACCAAUGUGCAUGUUGAAAAUUUUGUAAAUCAAGGCUAUAAUGAAAAAUUCACACCUAAACUAUUUCAUGCAGGGUUUAAUAUUUUUAAAUUUUAUUUUAUAUACCUUCAUUUUCAUAUGUUUGGUUUUCAUUUUCUUUGGUCAUAUUUUGUCUGUUUGUACAUAUGAAAGAUUAUCAUUACCUGGUAUUUUUUUUUAUUAUAAAUAAGCAAUAUGUUUUCAUAUAUAUGUAUGUUAUACUGAAUUUUCAAAGAUGUACUGUAGGUAUGCAAAAAUUGGUCUGUAUACGUAAAGAUACUGACACAUGGUUUGAUAUUUUGUAUAGAAGGUAAGCAUUGGUUUCUUUUUAAAGAGCACUUGGAAGACCUGCCUAUCAUAGUACCAUAUGGUAUUGUUAACAAUGUUUAGCAAUUUAAAACUUUGAUGUAUAUUGUUUUUGACAACAUGCAUGUAUGUGCAUGUAGUCGGCAUGUUUUCUUCAUGAUAAACACAUUGCCAAUAGUAAUGCUUUGUUUGAUACUUACAAAGAACAUGGGAAAUAAGACAGUUCUAAUUGCAUUGAGUUCAGUCAUUAAUUACUUCAGUAAAUCAGAUUUCAGGUUUCCAUCUAUAAUCUUGGUAAGAUAACUGAAUCAUUAAAACAUGCCAAAACAACAUUAUUUACUAAUGUUGUUGUGAAGUUUGUAAAAAACAAAGAACAUGCUAAUGUAAUACAUGUUGUCGAUAGUUUUUGUUGGGAUCAAUCCCAUGAAAAGGCUUAAUCAGUGUUACAAACAUCACAAGAAAAAAAACUCAGUUAUAUUUAAAUGACAUGCCGUACAAUGUACAAUAUUCUCUCCAAAACUGUAUCAGGUUUUUUGUUUUUUUCUAAGAAUAAAUGAGUGUUAUGUUCAAAAAUGUUGUGUUAGUAAUGAAUAUACAUUAAAAGGGAUAUUUUAAAUAUUAGACAUGUUUAUAUCUUCCUAUUGACUUUGCCUACUUUAUUCACCCAUGUUCUGAUAAAAUUUCAAUUUGUUUUAAAACAUGUGAUCAUGUAUCAAAAUAAAAUAAUAUAGAUCUC